UGGGGAAUCUUGCGCAAUGGGCGAAAGCCUGACGCAGCGACGCCGCGUGAGGGAAGAAGGCCUUCGGGUUGUAAACCUCUUUCAGGAGGGACGAAGCCACUCGGGUUAAUAGCCCAGAGGGUGACGGUACCUCCAGAAGAAGCCCCGGCUAACUACGUGCCAGCAGCCGCGGUAAUACGUAGGGGGCAAGCGUUGUCCGGAUUUAUUGGGCGUAAAGAGCGUGUAGGCGGCCAGGUAGGUCUGCUGUGAAAACUCGAGGCUUAACCUCGAGCUGUCGGCGGAAACCAUCUGGCUAGAGUCCGGAAGAGGAGAAUGGAAUUCCCGGUGUAGCGGUGAAAUGCGCAGAUAUCGGGAAGAACACCCGUGGCGAAGGCGGUUCUCUGGGACGGUACUGACGCUGAGACGCGAAAGCGUGGGGAGCGAACAGG
rnacentral:rRNA from 1 species